rnacentral:rRNA from 1 species
GACGAACGCUGGCGGCGUGCUUAACACAUGCAAGUCGAACGGAAAGGCCCUGCUUUUGUGGGGUGCUCGAGUGGCGAACGGGUGAGUAACACGUGAGUAACCUGCCCUUGACUUUGGGAUAACUUCAGGAAACUGGGGCUAAUACCGGAUAGGAGCUCCUGCUGCGUGGUGGGGGUUGGAAAGUUUCGGCGGUUGGGGAUGGACUCGCGGCUUAUCAGCUUGUUGGUGGGGUAGUGGCUUACCAAGGCUUUGACGGGUAGCCGGCCUGAGAGGGUGACCGGCCACAUUGGGACUGAGAUACGGCCCAGACUCCUACGGGAGGCAGCAGUGGGGAAUAUUGCACAAUGGGCGGAAGCCUGAUGCAGCAACGCCGCGUGCGGGAUGACGGCCUUCGGGUUGUAAACCGCUUUCGCCUGUGACGAAGCGUGAGUGACGGUAAUGGGUAAAGAAGCACCGGCUAACUACGUGCCAGCAGCCGCGGUGAUACGUAGGGUGCGAGCGUUGUCCGGAUUUAUUGGGCGUAAAGGGCUCGUAGGUGGUUGAUCGCGUCGGAAGUGUAAUCUUGGGGCUUAACCCUGAGCGUGCUUUCGAUACGGGUUGACUUGAGGAAGGUAGGGGAGAAUGGAAUUCCUGGUGGAGCGGUGGAAUGCGCAGAUAUCAGGAGGAACACCAGUGGCGAAGGCGGUUCUCUGGGCCUUUCCUGACGCUGAGGAGCGAAAGCGUGGGGAGCGAACAGGCUUAGAUACCCUGGUAGUCCACGCUGUAAACGGUGGGUACUAGGUGUGGGGUCCAUUCCACGGGUUCCGUGCCGUAGCUAACGCUUUAAGUACCCCGCCUGGGGAGUACGGCCGCAAGGCUAAAACUCAAAGGAAUUGACGGGGCCCCGCACAAGCGGCGGAGCAUGCGGAUUAAUUCGAUGCAACGCGUAGAACCUUACCUGGGUUUGACAUGGAUCGGGAGUGCUCAGAGAUGGGUGUGCCUCUUUUGGGGUCGGUUCACAGGUGGUGCAUGCCUGUCGUCAGCUCGUGUCGUGAGAUGUUGGGUUAAGUCCCGCAACGAGCGCAACCCUUGUUCACUGUUGCCAGCACGUUAUGGUGGGGACUCAGUGGAGACCGCCGGGGUCAACUCGGAGGAAGGUGGGGAUGACGUCAAGUCCUCAUGCCCCUUAUGUCCAGGGCUUCACGCAUGCUACAAUGGCUGGUACAGAGAGUGGCGAGCCUGUGAGGGUGAGCGAAUCUCGGAAAGCCGGUCUCAGUUCGGAUUGGGGUCUGCAACUCGACCUCAUGAAGUCGGAGUCGCUAGUAAUCGCAGAUCAGCAACGCUGCGGUGAAUACGUUCCCGGG